rnacentral:tRNA from 1 species
AGAGUUGUAGCUCAGUUGGUAGAGUGUUUGCCUACUAUGCAGAAAGCCCAGGCUUCAAUCCCCAGCACUG